AUUGAACGCUGGCGGCAUGCUUUACACAUGCAAGUCGAACGGCAGCACGGGGGCAACCCUGGUGGCGAGUGGCGAACGGGUGAGUAACACAUCGGAACGUGUCCUGUUGUGGGGGAUAACCCAUCGAAAGGUGAGCUAAUACCGCAUGAUCUGGAGACAGCAAAGCAGGGGACCGGUAACGGCCUUGCGCGAUUGGAGCGGCCGAUGUCCGAUUAGCUAGUUGGGGGGUAAAGGCCCACCAAGGCAACGAUCGGUAGCUGGUCUGAGAGGAUGAUCAGCCACACUGGGACUGAGACACGGCCCAGACUCCUACGGGAGGCAGCAGUGGGGAAUUUUGGACAAUGGGGGCAACCCUGAUCCAGCCAUGCCGCGUGAGUGAAGAAGGCCU
rnacentral:rRNA from 1 species